rnacentral:rRNA from 1 species
UGGGGAAUAUUGCACAAUGGGCGCAAGCCUGAUGCAGCCAUGCCGUGUGUGUGAAGAAGGCCUUCGGGUUGUAAAGCACUUUUGUCCGGAAAGAAAUCCUUGGCUCUAAUACAGUCGGGGGAUGACGGUACCGGAAGAAUAAGCACCGGCUAACUACGUGCCAGCAGCCGCGGUAAUACGUAGGGUGCAAGCGUUAAUCGGAAUUACUGGGCGUAAAGCGUGCGCAGGCGGUUUGCUAAGACCGAUGUGAAAUCCCCGGGCUCAACCUGGGAACUGCAUUGGUGACUGGCAGGCUAGAGUAUGGCAGAGGGGGGUAGAAUUCCACGUGUAGCAGUGAAAAUGGCGUAGAAGAUGUGGAGGAAUACCGAUGGCGAAGGCAGCCCCCUGGGCCAAUACUGACGCUCAUGCACGAAAGCGUGGGGAGCAAAACAGGAUUAGAUACCCUGGUAGUCCACGCCCUAAAACGAUGUCAACUAGUUGUUGGGGAUUCAUUUUCCUUAGUAACGUAGCUAACGCGUGAAG